AUGCGUAGAAAAAGGAGGCAAGCAAUGGAGAUUGUUGAAACAGAGGAGAACGGAGCCACGAUGUUGAAAUCAGAAGUAGAUGAAGAUGGAAUAAUACGCGAUGAAGGGGAUAGAUGCAGUGACUCUGAGAAUGUAAGGCGGAGGCUUCCGCCGCGGUUUGUAAGAAGAGUAAUCACAGAGGAGUUGGAUCGAGAAAAUAAGCGCGUUUAA